GAUGAACGCUAGCGGCAGGCCUAAUACAUGCAAGUCGAACGGUAAGGCCCUUUCGGGGUACACGAGUGGCGGACGGGUGCGUAACGCGUAUGCAACAUGCCUUCCAGCGGGGGAUAUACCAGGGAAACUUGGCGCAAUACCCCAUAGAAUUACGGGACCGCAUGGUCUUGUGAUUAAAACUCCGGUGCUGGGAGAUUGGCAUGCGUGACAUUAGCUAGUUGGUGGGGUAAUGGCUCACCAAGGCAACGAUCAGUAUCCGGCCUGAGAGGGCGGACGGACACACUGGGACUGAGACACGGCCCAGACUCCUACGGGAGGCAGCAGUGAGGAAUAUUGGUCAAUGGGCGCAAGCCUGAACCAGCCAUCCCGCGUGCAGGAAGACGGCCCUAUGGGUUGUAAACUGCUUUUCCAGGGAGAGAAACUUGCGUACGCGUUGCGCAAUUGACGGUACCCUGGGAAUAAGCAUCGGCUAACUCCGUGCCAGCAGCCGACGG
rnacentral:rRNA from 1 species